CUCGCCGUAGUUCAAUGGAUAGAACGCGUGCCUCCUAAGCGCGAGAUACAGGUUCGAUUCCUGUCGGCGGGA
rnacentral:tRNA from 1 species